UACGGAAGGGGCAAGCGUUGUUCGGAAUCAUUGGGCGUAAAGGGCGCGUAGGUGGUUCUGUAUGUCUACCGUGAAAGCGUACGGCUCAACCGUAUUUUGUCGGUGGAAACUGCAGGACUUGAGGCUGGGAGGGGCUGGUGGAAUUCCCUGUGUAGCGGUGAAAUGCGUAGAUAUUGGGAGGAACACCAGUGGCGAAGGCGGCUCACUGGACCGGUUCUGACGCUGAUGCGCGAAAGCGUGGGGAGCAAACGGG
rnacentral:rRNA from 1 species